AUUUUGAGAAUAGUCAUAAUAUUUUGUGGAAAAAGUAGUAUUAUAUUCAAGAAAAAAGCCAGAAUAAUUCAAG